AUUGAACGCUGGCGGCAGGCUUAACACAUGCAAGUCGAGCGGAGAGAGGUAGCUUGCUACUGAUCUUAGCGGCGGACGGGUGAGUAAUGCUUAGGAAUCUGCCUAUUAGUGGGGGACAACAUUUCGAAAGGAAUGCUAAUACCGCAUACGUCCUACGGGAGAAAGCAGGGGAUCUUAGGACCUUGCGCUAAUAGAUGAGCCUAAGUCGGAUUAGCUAGUUGGUGGGGUAAAGGCCUACCAAGGCGACGAUCUGUAGCGGGUCUGAGAGGAUGAUCCGCCGCACCGGGACUGAGACACGGCCCAGACUCCUACGGGAGGCAGCAGUGGGGAAUAUUGGACAAUGGGCGGAAGCCUGAUCCAGCCAUGCCGCGUGUGUGAAGAAGGCCUUAUGGUUGUAAAGCACUUUAAACGAGGAGGAGGCUACUUUAGUUAAUACCUAGAGAUAGUGGACGUUACUCGCAGAAUAAGCACCGGCUAACUCUGUGCCAGCAGCCGCCGUAA
rnacentral:rRNA from 1 species